CCUACGGGUGGCAGCAGUAGGGAAUAUUGGUCAAUGGGGGAAACCCUGAAGCAGCAACGCCGCGUGGAGGAUGAAGGUUUUCGGAUUGGAAACUCCUUUUGUUAGAGAAGAUAAUGACGGUAUCUAACGAAUAAGCACCGGCUAAAUCAGUGCCAGCAGCCGCGGUAAUACGGCGGGUGCAAGCGUUACUCGGAAUCACUGGGCGUAAAGGGCGCGUAGGCGGGAUAGCAAGUCAGAUGUGAAAUCCUAUGGCUUAACCCGAGAACUGCAUUUGAUACUGUUGUUCUAGAGUAUGGGCGAGGUAGGUGGAAUGCUUGGUGUAGGGGUAAAAUGCGUAGAGAUCAAGAAGAACACUGAUUGCGAAGGCGACCUACUAGAACAUAACUGACGCUGAUGCGCGAAAGCGUGGGGAGCAAACAGGAUUAGAUACCCCUGUAGUC
rnacentral:rRNA from 1 species